ACCUAUUGCUCACCCUCAGAUUUCCUGGAGCUGCCUCCCAUUGGCCAAACCCAACUAGAAGCCAGAGGAUGGAUGUGAUGAGGCGGCCUUCCUGAUGACUGGCCCUGCAUUGAGUUCAGAGGCAAAUGUCAACAUCUGCAUGGAGACUGGACAGCAAUUAAAAGAAGUAACUUGCCACCGCAAGUGUUACCUCCUGUCUAGUUGGUCACUACCUUCUCCAACUUGCAUACCUGCCAUCUCCAUGACACCUGAGUCCUUUGCUCAAGGCAUAUUCAGCAAAUGAUACCUAUGUGUCGAUUUGGAGCAGGCACUGUGCUUGGUACUGAAGACUCAGAAACUGGGAUCCUGACCAUCAGCUAAAAGACCAGCACAAAAGCAAGCAAACAGGCAUCACCUAUGACAGGUUCAUGCACUGGCUCCUGGCGACCCGAGUUUGAAAACUUGGAUGGACAGAUGAGUAGCUGAAUGUGUAGCUGUGAAGAGUGAGCCUCAUGGUCCCUGUGGAGGACAAAUACUGACUGAGAAGGUUGCACAAAAAUAACUUGGCAGUGUGCGAAGUCAUUGGAUAGCAACUGUGCAACUGAAGAAACAAACAAGGAGGAAAACUCAGGGAGAUCUAAUGUGAAGAAGAGAAGCAUCCGAGUAUCCUCUGCAGAGUAAUCUUCGCACAUCAUCAGGUUCUUAUCACAUGGCUCUUGUGAUCAUGAGAAUCAACCAGUUUGAUGAUGUUCCAAACCUCAGAAUAUAGAGCAGUGGUGGAAACCACAAGAACCAAGAUGGAGACUUGACCAAAGGAAAUAACUUUCAGUGGUCAUCUACAUUGUCUGGUGAUAUCCCAUGUCAUGAGGCACAAACUCCUGUCAUGAGGCUGUUCGAGCUCAAGCUGAAUGAGUGCUGUCCAGAUGUUAUGGAAGGAAGAAUGACUGGAUCCUUCUCUCUACAUGACACUUCUUACCCCAGAGGAGAGGCCACAUUCUUCACCACAGGCAACAGCUGUCCCUAAUCACUAUUAACUGCAGCUCACUUCCUGGGAAGACACUAGUGCAGGCUCUUUCUGUUCUCGUGUUUCUCCUAUAAGUUUCAUCGCAUUGCUGCAUGUACAUAUUGUGUUGCACUGAUUCUUCCCUUAGAGCACUGAACCCUGUUCCCACUGCAUUAUAGCUGUUUAGGGAUGGCUAGAUAUUGUCUGCUAAGAGAGCACCAAAUGUGUGUGCACAAAGGCUCAUAGGCCAGUGGGGUGUUAAUCUCACUGAACCUCACUUUCCUUACUUCCUGUGGUUUGAAGGAUUCAAAAAGCUUAGAAUAUGGUAUGCCACAGCCAGAUCCUUUUCCAAUCCACCACAAAUAGAAAAACAUCUUUGACAAAUUCAUGUCUUAUUCAUCAGGAAUGCUCUUCCUCAUUUGUUGCCAAUCAUCUGAUAAACAGUCUACCUGCAUAGAAACUUUCUUGGACAUACCUGGUUCCUGUGUGGGUGUGUAUGUGUGUGUGUGUGUGUGUGUGUGUGUGUGUGUGCAUGUGCACACAUGUGCUAGCAAUAAUGGGUGGAAGGCUACAGUAUAAUGAGACCUAUAGGAGCAGACAGUGAACAGGAAAGAGUCUUGAACUCAUCUCCCUCUAGGCAGUGAACUGUGGUCAGUGGUAGCUGGGGCAGUUGCUGCGGGCAGCAGGUUGUUCUGGGUACAGAGCCCUGUAUGUGCAGCUCUCUGUCUCAUACCUGUCAGGUAGGCACUGGGUGCCUCAGGUGCAGAGCAUGGAAAACAUAAAUGCAAGUCUGUUCUUAAACAUACCACAUAGUGAACUUUCUCUACUAUGCGAGGCAGGCCAAGUAGUGAUUUUUGGAGCUUUUAAAAGCUCACUGGCCCUUCAAAAAUGGCUAUUGUGGACAUCAGGUUUUAGAAGUUUUUUAAAAAAGCUAUAGGGCUUAUUUUUAGAAUAAACCUUAACCCUGGAAAGCUUCUUAAAGGAGCCACAGAACCUCAGCCAGCUGUUCCCAGAGGUUCCAACAUUACUUUUUCUUGUGCUUGAUGUGAAUAUCACGAGGUUGAGCCAAACCUAAGGGAGGCUACUCUUGACAGGAUGUGUCCUUGGAGCCAGAUAUCUGCACUAGGAGUUGUCCAUGGAAGCAGUGAUUGCUGACCAUAGCUGAAGUCUCAAAAUUGGAAGGGAAGUGAUUCUGUGUGACCUAAGAGGCUGGAUUCCGAAAAGGAGGACUUCCACCAGGCUGCUUUCUCUUUCUGAGGAGUCUGACACCAUGCUGAGAAGAUACUCAGGCAACCACAGAGAGGCCAAAUGGGGAGAACCGAGGCUUCUUUCCUACAACCAGCACCACUAUUCCAGCCAAGUCACAGAUUCUUCAGCCUCGGCUAAACCUUCAGAUGAUGCAGACCUGGCAGACACCUCUCCAUAGUUUCUUAUUUCCUAAAUGUGCAAUGCAAUAAA